rnacentral:lncRNA from 1 species
UCUCACCUGUGAUAACCAGGCUUCAGAAGCCUUCAGCAAUAAAAAGUGGACAUUUUACUUUUACGCCUGAGCCCACAGAGGAGCACAGAGGAAAGAAAGCUGCCAAGACCACAUCGUGGAAGCACUGGUCUCCCUGCAGCAGGACCCAGGAGCCAGAGGUCAGGGGGCCUCCUGAGGCAGAAGGCUGAAACCCUAUUCAUUCAUGCCAGUGCUCGUAGGCAGGAUGAGCAAGGCAAAGAUCGAUCUUUCACUGGACAGCAGCGUCUUCCAGGGUGACUGCCGCUCCAUCUGCAUUGUCCUCAUCGUCACCAUCUCCACCAUCACCGUCUUCUCCACCAUCACCACCAUCUCCAUCAUCUCCACCGUCUCCACAAAAACCACCAUCUCCACCAAAACUACCAUCUCCAUCAUCACCACCAUCUCCACCAUAACCAUCUCCACCAUCACCACCAAAACCACCAUCUCCAUCAUCACCACCAUCUCCAUCAUCACCACCAUCUCCACCAUAACCAUCUCCACCAUCACCACCAAAACCACCAUCUCCAUCAUCUCCACCAUCUCCACAAAAACCACCAUCUCCACCAAAACCACCAUCUCCACCAUCUCCAUCAUCACCACCAAAACUACCAUCUCCAUCAUCACCACCAUCUCCACCAUAACCAUCUCCACCAUCACCACCAAAACCACCAUCUCCACCAUCACCACCAAAACCACCAUCUCCACCAUCACCGGCUUGUCCUCUGGCAGGAGUUCCCUCCCCUUUCUCCAACCGCACCGGGAAGCCAGCUCGUUCCAAGGGUCCUAUGAGAAGCCUCUCUUCUCUGUGAGGCCGAGUGGUCUUUCCCAACCACCCCAACUCAAACAGGUGUUUUUCUCCAUCCUGUGUGGCAUCUGCUGUCCAAACACGCGUUUGACCUCCGCCACAUUCUGCCCUUUCUUUCCGAUUAUCUGUUGCUGCUGCACUCUCCCCAGGCCCCCAGCGGCUCUCCCAGGCCCAGCUCACCAGCCCCCCUGCCCUGGGCUUCCCCUCUGGGUUUUUGUGAAUCACAGUCCACGCUCAUUCACUGGAGUAAACCCCCAGCAAGGUCAGCAAGUGUAUCUGACUUAGCUCCGCAUUUCCGCGGGCACCCCACUCAGCAUGGUGUGAUGAAUGCCAAGUUAGCCUGGGAAUGUCUGAGGGACUGUUCAGUGCAUCCGAGGUUAUAGGUUAGCUGCAUGCAAUGCCUUGACCCCCGUUAGUAGGAAGCACUGUGACCAAAACAGGCGCUGAAGGAGCAGGAAGCACUCAGCGGCGAUGUCUGUGUUGGCGGCACCAGGACUAGCACUCUGUUCGACGGGCACAGAGUCGUUGGGGAGAGGCAGGGCUUGGUCCACAUCUUGUCUGGCCGGGAGGACCCUCCGGAGCUGCCCCUGUGCACAGGGUGGAUCGGGCCUGGCCGUGUCUGGAGUCGGUGCCCUGGCUGGCGUCCAGCCGCCUCCAUGGCCAGGUGUUUUCACGAGCUCCCUGCAGGACCUCAGCUUUCGCCAGGUCUCACGCCCCGGGGCCCUCGGGGGGGAGCCCAGCCUGGGUGUGUUUCCGUCUUCCCGCUUGCCCAGGUGUGUGUUCAGCCAUGGAGACGAGUGUCCAGGAACCCCUGGUGCCGGAACCGUUCUCGGGAGUGGGGAACCCUCUUUCCCACCUGACUCGCUGUGAAGACGGUCUGGGCCCUGGGCCUGGUCCCCCCGGCAGCUUGUGUGACGCUCUCAGAGCCGGGGGCUCAUCCCAUCAUGCUCACAGGCCUUCCACCGGACGUCUCAGGGACAGAAGGAAAUGAAAACGAGCCCCAGAUGCAGGGCUGUGUGCCUAGACAGGUCAUCCUAACGGUCCCGUCAUGUGUCUUUUCUCCCGAAUAAAGCUGUUCUUUUGAUCGCA